rnacentral:tRNA from 1 species
GGAUUAGCUCAGUUGGUCAGAGCAACGGUCUUGUAAACCGUAGGCCAUCGGUUCGAAUCCGAUAUCC